GGGUCCCCUCUUUAUCUGCCGCCUGGGGAAGACCAGGCCUGUUCCAUAUCUGUCUCUUUCCCACCCUGCUCCUCAGAAGGCCAAGGUUGGAUCUCUCUGCACUCUCACGGACCACAGUGUGCCUGUGUCUGUGUAGAGCCUGUGGUCUUAUGUCAGGUCUUGUGUUAACCCAAAGCACUAGUUUCUAAUUUCAGAUGCUGAGGUCAGUGGGGGUGGGGAGGAGAAAGGCGGCUUUGGGUGGGAAGGGUAUCUGAGUGUCUCAAAGCUGCGGUUCUCAGGCACGGACUUGCAGACCUGCUAGAGAGUCAGGGUAGCUUGAAGAAUAUUCGAGGAUUCCUGUACUCUUCAGCUCCCAUGCCCAGUCAAGUCAUGCCUCGAGUUCCUACAUGAGGCCCGUGUCCAUGCCUUAGUGUGCUCUUUGGGUGGUCUUUCAGCAGCUAUGAGAGUCCUUGGUGUGAGAGCGCUCCUGCGAAGCCGAGAUGGUGGCUCUGUCAGUGCUGACUGUCUGAACCAUGGACCAACACCGCUCACACCCUGUCUGGUGCUGUCAUAGGUUGCAGUUGGCUGCAUACUCGCCACAGCCCUGUGCCGGGCAGAGAACCAAGAAGGAAGCUUGGGCGUAAGAGGACGGAAACUGCCAACUAGUGUGACAAAGAUCUAAACCGCCCACGUGGUCUGUAAUCCUCUGCCUGCCCCGCCUCCCCCACCCAUGACCUCAGCCUGAGAACAGCUUGGACUUGUGCUCUUCAAGGUCUGACUCGGUCAGCCAUUUUCACAGGGAUGCAGAGGGGAGCCAGGGGCUCCAACCCUCUGCCUCCGACAGCAGUUGAUUGUGAAAUGCCCUGGCUAAUGUACACCAGCACAAGAAAAGGGAAUCUCUUUGGGGCUGCAAAUGCAGAGACUACAGCAGCCUUGAAGCAACUGUCUGUCUAUGGUUCUGUCCCUGGGCCAUACACGCGGUGUUUCUGGAAUCUACCCAGAGGCCUCUUCCUCCUUUAUUGAAGUCACACCUGUAGAGGCCUGGCCCUUUUUUCCCUUCCCAGUCCUGAGGGGGCACUGAGUGUCUAGAGCUGACCGUGCAGGACUGAGUAGGAGUAACAAUGUCUUAAGGUGUAGAAGAGCUGGACACAGUGAGAGCUGUCCUUGGUUUCCUGUCCAUGCAUGAGGUAACUGUCCUGCUGCCCUGCAGGCUGUGAAUCAAGUGAGCUAAAGAUAAGAUGGGAAUCAUACUCGGACAAGCAGACAGCAGCUUGCAAACCUGCGAUAACUGUGACAUCAUACUACAUGUUUCAGAGGUGAUCUGGCCUGUUCCAGGAAAGCUCAGAAUGACUCUAGCGUAAAUGCUCUCAAAAUGGCCAGCAGAGCCUCGAAGAGAUACUCAUAUUCUUAUGCUCCCAGCAACACUCUGCAUGACAGGAGGUAAAACUUAGACUUAGCAGUCUGUGUACAUCAGUGAGCAAAUGGGUAAGUAAAAUGUGGUGCACCAAUGAAUUAGUCAUGAAAAGGAAGGGGAUGGCACCAUGUACGCGGGCGCUUUUAAGCUUUCUUUCUACUGUUUGCAUGUCUAUUAGUUUAAGUCUCUGGGAUAUGUUGAUAGCAGGCAAACUGAAGAAGAGAGAAAAGAUCCCAGUUUUAUGCAUGUGCACAGUGGUCAUGUAAAACAGGAAACCAAAGGGUCAGAGUUUGACAUUCUGCUUUCCAGAAAGAACUAGGGAUUGAAGGCUUUGGAUGGAUGUCGAUGGGUAGUGGGAGGAUCAGAGGAGGGACUGCAUUGGUACACAAAGGUUGCCUUGUUAAGCAGAUAAAGUUUCAGGUAGUGGCCCGGAAGCAUAGGUGACAGGAUGUGUCAAAGUCUGUCCAGGAGAUACACUGACCUUCACUCUCUUUUCUGAGUCACACUCUUCCAGCCAAUGAGCCGAGGAAGGGAGUUACACUGCAGGCAGGUAAGGAGAGCUCACACAGGCCUGUCAUUUAACGUAAUCUGGGCACCAGAGAGCCACAUCUAGAGGUAAUCACUAGGUGAGCCUUUUAUGACAAGCCAUCUACAAAAGGGCAUACACCCUAAGAAAAGUCCUAUGAGUCCCACCUACAGGGUGUAACCGGGCAUAGUUUCACUUCUGUUGCCCUGGCAAAAUAGUUCAACCAAAACCAACUUUAAUAAACAAGACAACAGCAACAACACAAAGUCAAACUACUAGCCUGGGCCAGGUGCCAAAAGGCUUCAGUUCCAGCACUCAGGAGGCAAAAGCAGGAGGAUCUCUGUGAGUUCAAGGCCAGCUUGGCUUACUCAGAGUUCUAGGUCAGUUAGGACUAUGUAGUGGGACUGUGUCUCAAAUUAAGGAGCCAAGGAACAAAUAAAAGCAAUUUAGGUAAGAGAGGGUAUAUUUGACUUACAAUUCUACGUUACUCUCCAUUAUUGUGGAGACAUCAAGGCAGGAACUUAAAACAUUUACAGUCAAGAGCUAUGGGAAAAGAAUACAUGGCUGCUUGCUUUGCUGCUUUCUGUUUAUCUAGCUUUCAUCUGUAGGACCUCCUGCUUAGGGAAUAGUACCGCCCACAAUGAGUGGGGGUCUUCUCCAUCUUAACUUUCCAUUAACAGUCAAGACAAUCCCCAGUAGACAUGCCCAUAGGCCAAAGUGACUUUGGCAAUUCCCUACCUAGGCUCUCUUCUUAGAUGACUCUAGGUUCUGAGCCUGGAGUGAGGGCUCAGAAUUUAAAGGUACAGAAAGCAGUGGAGGGUGAUGACACACCCUUAAUCCUAGUGCCCAGGAGGCAGAGGCAGGUGGAUCUCUGGGAGUUAAAAGCCAGCCUCAGCCUCAUCUACAUAUACAUAGUGAGUUCCAGGACAGUCAGAGCUACUUAGUGAACCUUGUUUCAAGAAGAGGGGAGAGAGAGAGAGAGAGAGAGAGAGAGAGAGAGAGAGAGAGAGAGAGAGAGAGAGAGAGACAGAGAGAGAGACAGAGAGAGAGACAGAGAGACAGAGAGGAGAGAGACAGAGAGACAGAGAGACAGAGACAGACAGAAACAGAGAGAUUUAAAAAAAAGUAUACACUGCUCUUACAAAGGAUCUGAGUUUGAUUUCCAGCAUUAAUUAUCAGGCUGAGCAGUUAAGAGAACAUACUGUUCUUACAAAGGAACUUCAAGGCAGAAUCUUGCUAUGUAGACCGGGUUAACCUCAAAUUGUUUCCUCUACUCCCUAAGUAUUGGGACACCAGGCAUGGACUAGCACACCUGUCUGGAAGGUGGGUUUUAUGCUAAUCUCCACGGCAGAGUUCCUGUUCACGAUAAUGCCUUCCUCUGGUAACUACAUUCCGGGUUUGAGGUCUUCUGACUCAUACAGGGGUCCUUCUAGAAACCUCUUUCCAGUUGCUCUCCCUCGCAGCCACCACUGCAAUGAUCGGACAAACCCAAGGGCGAGGCACAGGCAUAACCCAAAAAGAGGGUCUUUUCCUGCCCCCGGAUUGGUUCCCCUUGACUUCCCUCCCCCCAGCACAGGCAAGCAGGCAGUCUCUGCUGAUUAUAAGACAGCUCCUGGCUGUCAGUUCUGCUUGAAUAAACUCCUUUGUCCUCAAGAAUUUUCCCAUGUCAAACAUUUAGUCUGCUGUGCUCUGGGUCAGCGAACAAGAUGAGUCUGAAUUUUUUCUUUUCUUUUCUUUUUUUUUUUUUUAGGAGCUGGGGACCGAACUUGCUCCUUGCAAGCGCUCUAUCACUGAGCUAAAUCCCCAACCCCCGAGUCUGAAUUUUUAAACAACCUUAUAAAUGGAAGACAUCUGUCUGCAAGACAGACACACCCAUCUGCUACACUGUCACCAGCUUUCAAGACCCUUCCUUAAAACCCUAUUGUUCUACAUUUUAGGUGCUAAAAAGUAUAGCUUAAAAAAAUAUAUUUAAUAAUAUAGGUAUAUGUUCUUGGGAGAUGGAAGUCAACCAGAACCCCCUCCGCACAGCACUCCCCCAUGGAGCAAUUAACUACUAAUGAUGGUUUGAUGUAUAUGUCUUCCUGAAACCUCAGAUUUUGCCCCCUGAACACAGACAUUACUGUUAUCAUCAUUACUAUCCACUAUAGCAACUGACCUGGCAGGAAUGAAGAUAUUUUAAAGACAGGCUAGUGUUUCUCAGUCUAUCAGAUUAUUGGGGGAAAAAAAAAUGACCUCAAGAAGCAGAGAUUUUGCCCAUGAAUCUCACGCUGGGCGGAGGCAAAGGCUCAGUCAGAGCAGAGCUUUUCUCCGAGAAGAUAGACUUACAGCUUGUCAGACACCUUACAGGAGAAGUGUGAAGUCUAGGCAAGGACAGGACCCACCUUGGUGGGGACCUCUUAGCUCUGAGUAUCCCUACUCUAUUUAAAGUCUAAUCGGACUUCGGACUCUUCAGAUGUGCUUGACGGAACGCCACUGGAUCUCUUUGUCCCUCUUCCUGGUGUGACCACAUUAAAUACAUCUCCCUUUUCAUUUUUACUACUAAUUUGGUUGUUUGAAUUGGAUCCUCAAGGAUGGGUGGCUGAACUUGAUUCCUUGGGGUACAGACUGUGGCCUUGAGUUUGGUAACACGUUACCAUGGAUUCUGUUUGGCAAUUGCUUUGGACAUAUAUUAAACUUCUUUUAGUAUCAGAACAUCGUUGUUUUCUUAGUUGAAGAUGUUCUAUUGUGUCUAUGAAUAACCACUUAUUUAACGAACUCCCUGGUGGUAUCUGGAAUCUGACCUCCCUCUUCCUAGUGUUUCCCUUAUACAGUGGAUAGAGUUGGACAGGUAUCGGUUUACUUGUGUGCUCUAUGGCUAUGAGAGGUAUUUCUAGAAGCCGUUAGGAAGCCCGUGGGUACUAGUCUUAAAUAAAUAAAGACAAAGCAAUGGAGUUGUAAGGAAGAAAAGAUUUAUUUAUUUAAAAUUGCUAUUAUGGUGAUGAUGAUGACAAUGAUGACGACGAUGACGAUGAUGUGUCUGAGCACUGUGUGAGGGGUAACACCCAUGCCAUGUCUCCCAUGUGGCAAUCAUAGGACUCCUCCACCUUCCUCUGAGUGUCAGGGGGUCUAACUCAGGUCAGGCUUGUAUGGCAAGCACUUUCCCCACUGGACGGACCAUCACACCCUUUCCCCAAAGACUUCUUUUCCUCACCCAUGGCAAAGGUCUACAACUGAUACGUCUAUAACAAAGGGCAGUUUGCUGAAAGAAAAGGGUGCACGGUUUAUUGACUAAAAUUGAAUGUGAAAUGGGAACCUUCAGAAGAGAAGACACACGGACACAGGGAGAACUGGACCUCUCUGCUUAGACGAAAUGGAUGGACAGCUGUGUGGAAUGGCUGGACAGAGAGGAAGUCUAAGUGACGAGAACAUGCUGGGGUGGGUGGGUUUAGCAAGGCCUGUUUGUUCACACUCCUUUCGGCUUCCAGGUACCACAGAGGACACCUGUCACACUUCCUUCAGCCGAAAGUUCUCAGCAUGCCAGGAGGUCAGGCUUCAGUGGCUUCACCUAACUUCGUAAGAAUUAGAUCUUGCCGGGGCCUUAGGGCUGCACACCUGUAAUCCCAGCACUCGGAAGGGAGAGGCAGUUGGAUCUCUGAGUUCCAGGCCUGGUCUACAGAUGGAGUUCCAUGAUAGCCAGGGCUACACAGAGAAACCCUGUCUUACAAAUCAACAAAACAUAACGAAAUAAACAAAAGAAAACUAAACAAAAAAUUAAAAAAAACCCCACUUUAUCUUGAUUGUAGUGGUAGUUGUAUGACUGUAUGUUUAUGAUUUUUAAAGCUUUAUAAUUUUUUAAAAAUUAAAUCAAUUAUACUAUACAAUAAAAAGAUUAAACCCUC